rnacentral:lncRNA from 1 species
GUUUUUAAAAAUGUAAAAAAAGCCAGGGCUGGGGAUAUAGCUCAGUUGGUAGAGUGCUUGCCUUGUGUGCACAAGGCCCUGGGUUCAAUACCCAAUACCACCAAAAAAAGUAAAAAAAUAUCAAGGAGCAAAGAAACAAGCCUGUCUAUUGAAACACAACCACAGGUAAUAUUUGUGCUUUUUUCUAAUUAUAGACUUAAGGGAAUUCUAAUUCUUUUACCAAACUAUUCCUCAGUUUGCCAGGCAGUAUAGCAGGAAUGAGCCUUUGACCUUUGCAUGGUUACGCCGAUACAUCAAAUGGCCUCUACAACCACCUAAGAACAUUAAAGACCUCAUGGAUCUUGAAGCUGUCCAUGACGUCUUGGAUCUUUACCUGUGGCUAAGGUACCAAUUUUCUCCUUUAUGUGUUCUUGUUUCUAAGUAAUAGGGCAAAUCAAAGGUUUUAUGAAUGGUGGGAGGUUUUUUGUUUGUUUUUUGUUUCAAACUCAGCACAUAUUUGCAAGAAGCUCUAUAUUAUGUUUGUUGUCAAUAAAAGCACUUGAGCCUGGCUUAUAUUUCUUCCAAAAAAGUCUUCAGGAGUUUUGUGGUUAUCAUUGAGACAGCCAAGUGAGAAGAUCCACUAGACCCUUUCUACUCAAAGAGUGGUCCUUGGAUCACAAGUGUUGGUAUCACCUGGGAGCUUUAGAAAUAAAGAAUCUCAGGGCCAUCCCAGACUUAAUCAGAUUCUGCAGUUUAACAGUAUCUUCAGUUGGUUCACUUGUAGAUUUUUGACAUUUGAGAAUCCGUGCUCUAGAGGGCUCGGCUUCUCAAAGGAGGGGUAUAUAUCCCUAGGGGAGCAUAUAAAGAUUACUUGAGAUAGCAUACCAACCCACUUUCAUCAUGACAUAUUCCUCAGGUAUGUUGGAGAAGAAGUAGAAGUUGAAUAAAGAUACUGGACAGUUUGCAAAAAGAAAACAUUUGGAAUUAACGUAGGUGUGCCACUGAGAUUAGUCCAGAGCUGUUGCUAUAAUAUAUCGUGUCCUUUUCACAGCUACCGAUUCAUGGACAUGUUUCCAGAUACCAGCCUUGUGCGAGACCUGCAGAAGGAGCUGGAUGGUGUUAUCCAGGACGGUGUUCACAACAUCACCAAACUGAUUAAAAUUUCCGAGACACGUAAGCUGUUGCAUCUGGAAAGCUCAUUAGCAGGGAGCCAGUCACGUUUGUCAGGAACCUUGAAGAGCCAAGCUAGAAGGGCACGUGGCACCAAAACUGCAGGGAGUAAAGCUGCUGAGCCGCUUGGCGCCAGCGCUGGGGAGCUAUCCCUCGCUUCCAGACUGGUGCAGCAAGGACUCCUCACUCCAGACAUGUUGAAGCAGCUUGAAAAGGAGUGGAUGACACAACAGACUGAACAUGGCCAAGAGAGAACAGAGUCUGGGACUUACUCAAAAGGGACAAGAAGAA